UACCCGCAGCACAAGUGGUGGUCAUUAUUAUUGGGCCUAAAGCGUCCGUAGCUGGUUUGUUAAAUGCCUGGGUAAAUCGAUGCGCUUAACGUAUCGAACUCCGGGUAGACUGGCAAACUCGAGACCGGGAGAGGCAUGGGCUACUCGCGGGGUAGGGGUAAAAUCCUGUAAUCCUGCGGGGAGGACCAGUGGCGAAGGCGCCAUGCUAGAACGGCUCUGACAGUGAGGGACGAAGCCCUGGGGCGCAAACCGG
rnacentral:rRNA from 1 species